rnacentral:rRNA from 1 species
GUGCCAGCCGCCGCGGUAAAACGUAGGGUGCAAGCGUUGUCCGGAAUUACUGGGUGUAAAGGGAGCGCAGGCGGACCGGCAAGUUGGAAGUGAAAACUAUGGGCUCAACCCAUAAAUUGCUUUCAAAACUGCUGGCCUUGAGUAGUGCAGAGGUAGGUGGAAUUCCCGGUGUAGCGGUGGAAUGCGUAGAUAUCGGGAGGAACACCAGUGGCGAAGGCGACCUACUGGGCACCAACUGACGCUGAGGCUCGAAAGCAUGGGUAGCAAACAGGAUUAGAAACCCGAGUAGUCC